AUCGCUUCUCGGCCUUUUGGCUAAGAUCAAGUGUAAAAAGAUACUUUAAAAACUAGAAAGCUCUUUUUAAAAAAUACUGCCCUAAAUAUUU
rnacentral:sRNA from 1 species